rnacentral:rRNA from 1 species
UACGUAGGCAGCAAGCGUUGUUCGGAAUUACUGGGCGUAAAGAGUGUGUAGGCGGUGCUCCCAGUCUGUUGUGAAAUCUCCCGGCUUAACUGGGAGGGUGCGCCGGAAACUGGGGUGCUCGAGCGUGGGAGAGGAAAGCGGAAUUCCUGGUGUAGCGGUGAAAUGCGUAGAUAUCAGGAGGAACACCUGUGGUGUAGACAGCUUUCUGGACCAUUGCUGACGCUGAGACACGAAAGCGUGGGUAGCAAACAGG